UAUCGGAGCACAGGUAACAGCACUUGACGAACGGAGGGUAAAAAACUGGGAACGCGCACAGGAAGUGCGCGUUAGCCCGAUCGCGCCAGGAAGGCGCGUGGAGGGCGACCAGUUUUUGCCCGGAGUGAGUCCUAGUGCUAUCUGUGCGGAGAUU
rfam:Desulfotomaculum nigrificans CO-1-SRB chromosome, complete genome.